rnacentral:rRNA from 1 species
UAGGGAAUCUUCCGCAAUGGACGAAAGUCUGACGGAGCAACGCCGCGUGAGUGAAGAAGGAUUUCGGUUCGUAAAACUCUGUUGUUAGGGAAGAAAAAAUGUAUAGUAACUAUAUACAAAAGAGACGGUACCUAACCAGAAAGCCACGGCUAACUACGUGCCAGCAGCCGCGGUAAUACGUAGGUGGCAAGCGUUGUCCGGAAUUAUUGGGCGUAAAGCGCGCGCAGGUGGUUUAGAAAGUCUGAUGUGAAAGCCCACGGCUCAACCGUGGAUGGUCAUUGGAAACUAAUAAACUUGAGUGCAGGAGAGAAAAGUGGAAUUCCUAGUGUAGAGGUGAAAUGCGUAGAGAUUAGGAGGAACACCGGUGGCGAAAGCGGCUUUUUGGCCUGCAACUGACACUGAGGCGCGAAAGCGUGGGGAGCAAACAGG